AGAGUUUGAUCCUGGCUCAGAACGAACGCUGGCGGCGUGCUUAACACAUGCAAGUCGAACGCGAAAGUUUUUCUUCGGAGAAGCGAGUAGAGUGGCGCACGGGUGAGUAACGCGUAAGUAAUCUACCCUGGUAUCUGGAAUAACUCACCGAAAGGUGUGCUAAUACCGGAUACGUUGAUUUAUCAAGAAAGGUGGCCUCUAUUUAUAAGCUACCGUACUGGGAUGAGCUUGCGUACCAUUAGCUAGUUGGUAGGGUAAUGGCCUACCAAGGCAACGAUGGUUAGCGGGUCUGAGAGGAUGAUCCGCCACACUGGAACUGGAACACGGACCAGACUCCUACGGGAGGCAGCAGUGAGGAAUAUUGCGCAAUGGGGGAAACCCUGACGCAGCGACGCCGCGUGGAUGAUGAAGGCUUUCGGGUCGUAAAAUCCUGUCAGAAGGGAAGAAAUGUAUAGGUAUUAAUAGUGCUUAUAUUUGACGGUACCUUCAAAGAAGCACCGCUAACU
rnacentral:rRNA from 1 species